UGUUCUUAAAAUAAACACACAUUUGUUUCAUGACCUAUUAAUACUGUAUAUGAAAGGGUGAUACGUGGUCCUUAACAGCAGGAGUCAGCUGUUCUGUUCUGAAUCUGUAUGUAAACAGUUCUAGAAUAAGCAAUAUUGUUGAACUUCAGUGAAAUAUAAAAAACAGUCACUUUGGCUGUGGACAGAGGAGGUGUCCACAUCAGCACCUGCUGGUGUGCUUUGGGGUAAGAGUGCCAAUAGCCUUAAAAUGAAUUCCAGAUUUUAGCAACACAGAAGCCUGAUGCCUUUGAUGUAGUCACUGACAGAAAGGUCAGUUAUUAUCAUCCUUCUCAUUGCCCUCUUUCAUCUGCUCUCUCUUUGUAAACAGGGCUGUGAGGCCCUAUUGGUAUAACCAUGGAAACCAUUGAAAUGUCAGGAGAUGGAAGCCAGUAAAGACUAUAGACUUGAGUCCAAGCUCACCAGACCUCUCUUUGUUCCUCUUUGGCUGACCAGUUCUAUAUGAACACGACUACUUAACAUACACUGUAUGUUGAUAUAGUGAUGCUAAUAAUAAUAGAAAAUCAGACUUUAUAA